rnacentral:tRNA from 1 species
UAGCCUAGUGAUUAAGGCUACGGAUCGUCAAUCCGGAUACGGCGGGUUUGAUUCCCGU